UUUAUAUAAUAUGAGCAUAAUACCAGGAAAAUUAGCUGAGACUACAUAAACUCGAUUUUUAUAAGUUGCGCGCAAUACUUCAUUAAAUACUUUUUCGUGCAGAACCAUAGACAACUUGUUUAUUUUUUUACAAAAAAAAACUUUUAAGUCAUAUUAUUUAAAUUUUUUUAAUAUUUUUAUUAAUAGAUCAGUUAGCGGAGCUUCAAAAAUGGUCUCUGGCUCGAUUGUUAUGUGAAACAACUAGAUUAAAUCAGAUACGUCUGAAGCCAUUUACCUUGCCUAACAUUAGAAAUCCUUUGGUGCAUUGUAGAUCAUUUCCACCAAUGAAUUUUGAAGCAUGGAAAGAUACCUAUUGAUGCAAAUAAAAAUCUGAAAUCUGAGCAUUUAUUACUCUCUCUUUUAGGUUCAAAAAUAAACAAUGAAUUUUAACACUA